rnacentral:tRNA from 1 species
GGGCGUCCUCGGCGAACGGGAGCACGACGUCGCGGCCGUCGACCGCGUAGGUGCGGACGCUGGCGCCGACCUCCGCGAUCGUGGCGCGGUGCGCGCC